UUUCCGUAGGUGAACCUGCGGAAGGAUCAUUAAAAAAUUGGACUCCAUUGGUGAGUUCAUUAAUAAUCCCUACCCUUUGUGAAUUUGUUUGUUUGAAUAAUUUUUUUUCCAAAAAAAAAUUAUUGAAUGUCUUUCCCUGUUUUGGUGGAGCUUGUAAAGUGAAACCAGGCAGGGGAAUGGCAAACAAUAAUUAUUUUUUGAAAAAAGACCUUUUUUAAAAUUAAACUUUUUGUAUUCAUUUGUCUAAAAUUAUUUUUAUAAUAUAAAAACAACUUUUGACAAUGGAUCUCUUGGUUCUCGCAACGAUGAAGAACGCAGCAAAAUGCGAUAAGUAGUGUGAAUUGCAGAAUACGUGAAUCAUCGAAUCUUCGAACGCAUAUUGCACUUUUUUAGUUUACUAAAAAAGUAUGUCUGUUUGAGUAUCAGUAAAAUAUUCUCAUAAAAAAUUUAUUUUUUAUGGUUAUGAGUGUUUUACAACGAUAACAAGUUGUUUCACUUUAAAUUCUUUGUUAUCAAAAAAAUCAUUAAAAGCUAAUUUUAAAGAUUUUUUAAAAUUGGAUAAAAUUUUCCCGUAAAAAGGAAUAACCUAAACAAUUUUAAAAAAUUAAAAUUGGUUUGAUUUUUUUUGAUUUAAAAAGGAAAAAAAAGUAAAAAUUAACUUGAUCUCAAAUCAGAUAAGAGUACCCGCUGAACUUAAGCAUAUCAAUAAGCGGAGGAAAAGAAACUAACUAGGAUUCCCUCAGUAACGGCGAGUGAAGCGGGAAGAGCUCAAGUUUGAAAUCUUCAAGGUUUUACCUUGACGAAUUGUAGUUUAAAGAAGUGUUUUCUGUUGGAGUUUUGGUAAAAGUUCUUUGGAAAAGGACAUCAUAGAGGGUGAGAAUCCCGUAUUUGACCAUUAUCUCCAGCUUUGUGAUACACUUUCAAAGAGUCGGAUUGUUUGGGAAUGCAGUCCAAAAUGGGUGGUAAAUUUCAUCUAAAGCUAAAUACUGGCGAGAGACCGAUAGCGAACAAGUACCGUGAGGGAAAGAUGAAAAGAACUUUGAGAAGAGAGUUAAACAGUACGUGAAAUUGUCAAAAGGGAAGCGUUUGACACCAGUGUUGUUUUCUCGAAAAUCAAUUAAAAAAGGCCGGAUUUUGUGUUGUAAUUGACUUUAUCAGCUUUCUGCACUUUUUUCUUGUCUUUUUUAAUGCACUUUUCGUUUAACAAGUCAACAUCAAUUUCUUUUGUUGUAAAAGGGUCAUUGGAAGGUGGCUUUCUUUUCGGAGAAAGUGUUUAUAGCCUUUUGCCUCUGCAAUCGGAGAGAUUGAGGUCUGCAGCGUAGAUCCUUCGGGGUUAGAUACAUUUGUGCUAAGUUAUAGCCUUUCAUAGACAACUUGUUGACUAUGAUCAGUCAUGUAGCUUACUCGCUUAUGCUAUUU
rnacentral:misc_RNA from 1 species